rnacentral:rRNA from 1 species
ACUCCUACGGGAGGCAGCAGUGGGGAAUUGUUCGCAAUGGGCGCAAGCCUGACGACGCAACGCCGCGUGGAGGACGAAGACCUUCGGGUCGUAAACUCCUUUCGAUCGAGACGAACGGCCUCCGGGUGAACAAUCCGGAGGAGUGACGGUACCGAGAGAAGAAGCCCCGGCUAACUCCGUGCCAGCAGCCGCGGUAAUACGGGGGGGGCAAGCGUUGUUCGGAAUUACUGGGCGUAAAGGGCUCGUAGGCGGCCAACUAAGUCAGACGUGAAAUCCCUCGGCUUAACCGGGGAACUGCGUCUGAUACUGGAUGGCUUGAGAUUGGGAGAGGGAUGCGGAAUUCCAGGUGUAGCGGUGAAAUGCGUAGAUAUCUGGAGGAACACCGGUGGCGAAGGCGGCAUCCUGGACCAACACUGACGCUGAGGAGCGAAAGCCAGGGGAGCAAACGGGAUUAGAUACCCCGGUAGUCCUGGCCCUAAACGAUGAAUGCUUGGUGUGGCGGGUAUCGAUCCCUGCCGUGCCGAAGCUAACG